AUGCGACUGGCGGCGGAGCGGCCGCGGCCCGAGCUAGGAUUGGCGGUUAGGCUUGCCAAUCCUCCCGGAGUAAACACCGCCCUCCCGAGUUGGCAUCCCUCUGAGCGCCCUCCGGCUUUCUUGUCUCCCUCGCAGCAGCCUACCCCCCCCCCGCCCCAAUUCCCUUCUCCGGCUCUCGUCACCCCGCCUUCCCUCCCUCCCUCGCCCGGCCGCGUUUGGCCUUGUCGGCGAAGCGAAGCGGUCUGGCGGCGGCUGUGGUGGGGACUCUCCAAAGCCAGUCGGCUCGGCCCGUUCGCUCUUCCUCCCCGUCUUCUUCAAGGGGGCCCCUGGUGGCCUCGAGGAGAAACCACGGGCGUUCUGGGCCGGUGGGGGCGGCGGCAGGUGGGGGCCACUGCUGCUGCCGCCGCGAGCCCCGCCCCUCCAGCAGUAUUAGAAAUUCCCCAGGUGCCAGGUGUGUUUUGCGACUGGUGUGGAUCCAACUGCGACCACGUGGGGAUUUCUGGGUGCUUGGUUGGUGACUGACAUCUGACUGGCUGUUCCAACUUUCUUAAACAGGUACAUUUAUAUCCCACCUUUUUCUCCAAGGAGCACAUAGUUUACUCCCCUCCUCAAUUAAUCCCCACAAAGACCCUGUGAGGUAGGUUAAGAGGCUGUAAUUGGCUCAUGAUUUAGUGGGGAUUUGAACCUUCAUCUCCCAGGUCCUAGUCUCCUAGUCUGACACUCUAACCACUAUACCACACUGGCUUCCUAGAGUACUUCUGCUAUGGGGCAGCUAUAUCAAUUAAGUAGGUAAAUAGUAUGGAGAAAGCAAAUGUCUCUUUGAGAAGGCUCUGAAAUAUUUUCCUUGAAGCUUGAAUUUGUUUUAAUUUGGAUUGUUUUAUUUGCUGUUUUAAUGUAUUGUAAGCCACUUGGAGAUUUUUUUUCUUUAAAAUAUAAAGUGGUAGAAAUGAAAUGAAUAAUGAUGAUGAUUAUAGGAAUAAUAAAUCCUACCACUUAAAAAAAAAGGCACCUAGACAUUCUGUUUUGGUGACUGUAACCUAGGUUUAAGGUGCCAUUUGGUGAUUAGCUUAUAUAUCUCAAUUUCUAACACUGCCUAUUACCACUGAUGCCUCACUAUUUGCUGUGCCUCUGUUACCACUUGUGCACACAUGAGUUUCUGUUGGGGUGUGUGUGUGUGUGUGUGUGCGCGCACGUGCGCAUGUGAAGGAACACCAGUUAACCAAUAGGCAUUGACAAUGUAAUGAACACGGGGAUGACUGAUGGAAUAAAGGGUCUAGGUAAAACAAAAGACAUCCUUUGUGAGGCAUGUAGGCGAGCAAUUAAUUGCCCAAGGCAAUUCUUUUUAUUCAUUUAUUUCCGUCCAGCCAUUCUAGAUUGGCAAACCUUACAAUACAAACUUCUCAAGUUGACUUACAAUAUCCCAUAAAUCAACUAAUAUUUAAUAAUAAUAAUAAGCAGAAACACUGCAGCAAUUAAAAGCCUUAAUUAACCUAUCAAAAGUUAUUAAAAGUCUGAGAAGCCGAAACAGUUUGUACUUUAUGCCUAAAAGCUGUUUGAUUCAGCAUCAGGUAAGCAGAUAAGACAAGGGAGUUCUGCAGAUGUAAUUGGUUCAUGCCCUGUUCUUCAUUAACCAAUUACAUUAUCCCACUAGGUUUGUAUGGGGAAAUACAGUAUAGUACUUGAGCAAGCUGUAAUGCUCUGUGGGAGAUGUUGUAUGAUUUAUAAUUGUAAUUUUAUUGGUUUAAUUGUAUUUUUUCACAUCGUAUUUUCUUGUAUUACAAUGCACAUUCCAUAAUAUUUAAAUUACAAUACAAUAAAAUACCAUGUAAGAAAUAAAAAGCAACUAAAAUACAAUUAAGAAUCAAUAUGAAUCAAUAUGAAUAUUUAACAUGGGUCAUCUGAAUGAGUGUUCAUGAUCCACAGUUUAGGAACUUGCUCCUUAUAAUUUGCAUUUGUAUAUCUGUUUGCCUGAUGACAUUGCAACAUUUUGGAUGAUUUUAGUUGUCACUUUAUUAGAACUGAAAUAUGCAGUUCAAAUUCUCAGGGUCCAGCAUAAAAAAAUAUAAGUAUAUUGAUGAUCUGAUGCCUGGAAUCUUUACAUCACUGAUAACAUUAGCCUACCAUACAGCUGGACAUGGGUGGCACUGUGAGUUAAACCACAGAGCCUAGGACUUGCCAAUCAGAAGGUCAGUGGUUUGAAUCCACACGACAGGGUAAGCUCCCGUUGCUGGGUCCCUUCUCCUG
ensembl:lncRNA